rnacentral:rRNA from 1 species
CUUGACAUCCAGAGAACUUUCCAGAGAUGGAUUGGUGCCUUCGGGAACUCUGAGACAGGUGCUGCAUGGCUGUCGUCAGCUCGUGUUGUGAAAUGUUGGGUUAAGUCCCGCAACGAGCGCAACCCUUAUCCUUUGUUGCCAGCGGUUAGGCCGGGAACUCAAAGGAGACUGCCAGUGAUAAACUGGAGGAAGGUGGGGAUGACGUCAAGUCAUCAUGGCCCUUACGAGUAGGGCUACACACGUGCUACAAUGGCGCAUACAAAGAGAAGCGACCUCGCGAGAGCAAGCGGACCUCAUAAAGUGCGUCGUAGUCCGGAUUGGAGUCUGCAACUCGACUCCAUGAAGUCGGAAUCGCUAGUAAUCGUGGAUCAGAAUGCCACGGUGAAUACGUUCCCGGGCCUUGUACACACCGCCCGUCACACCAUGGGAGUGGGUUGCAAAAGAAGUAGGUAG